rnacentral:rRNA from 1 species
GAUGAACGCUGGCGGCGUGCCUAAUACAUGCAAGUCGAGCGAACAGACGAGGAGCUUGCUCCUCUGACGUUAGCGGCGGACGGGUGAGUAACACGUGGAUAACCUACCUAUAAGACUGGGAUAACUUCGGGAAACCGGAGCUAAUACCGGAUAAUAUAUUGAACCGCAUGGUUCAAUAGUGAAAGACGGUUUUGCUGUCACUUAUAGAUGGAUCCGCGCCGCAUUAGCUAGUUGGUAAGGUAACGGCUUACCAAGGCAACGAUGCGUAGCCGACCUGAGAGGGGGAGGGGCCCCCUGGAAACUGAACCACGGCCCAGCCCCCCACGGGAGGCAGCGGAGGGAAACUUCCGGCAAGGGGCGAAAGCCGGCGGGGCAAACCCCGGGGGAGGGAGAAAGGUUUUGGGUCCGAAAAACUUUGUUUUUGGGAAAAAAAAAAUGUGAAAGUAACUAUGCCCGUUUGGACGGUACCAAAUAAAAAAGCCCGGGUAAAUUACGU